rnacentral:rRNA from 1 species
UACGGGGGGGGCAAGCGUUGUUCGGAAUUACUGGGCGUAAAGGGCUCGUAGGCGGCCAACUAAGUCAGACGUGAAAUCCCUCGGCUUAACCGGGGAACUGCGUCUGAUACUGGAUGGCUAGAGGUUGGGAGAGGGAUGCGGAAUUCCCGGUGUAGUGGUGGAAUGCGUAGAUAUCGGGAGGAACACCAGUGGCGAAGGCGGUUGCCUGGAGCUUUGCUGACGCUGAUGCGCGAAAGCGUGGGGAGCAAACAGG